CCCCCCACCCCCCCCCAGCUCCUUGUGCCCCCCCAGCCCACUCGCUGGUGGGGUGAGAGGCAGAAAAGGCCUUGGCUCCGCGUGAGCCCUGCUCGGCAGUAACUAAAACAGCCCCCUGUUAUCAAGGCUGUUCUCACCCCAAAUCCAAAAUGUAGCACUGUGCCAGCUACUAGGAAGAAAAUUAACUCUAUCCCAGCUGAAACCAGCACAAAAAUGAAAAGGGUGGGGAUACCAAUUGCCUUCUGAAGGGCAAAGGGUGGUUGAGGAGGAUGGUGGCUGAAGGAACAGGCUGCAAUUGAAUUUGGGUUUUCAGGGAUGCAGCAAGCUUGGGGUUUCUUUUCUUUUUAGUACGUUGUAUGCUGUGGUUUCCUGGCUGGUAUCAGCAUUACUACACUGAGAGGCUGUUUGCUGUCUGGGUACUUGCCAGGUGAUAAAAAUGUUACAGCAGGACCAAAAAAUUUCAACAGUGUUACGGGAAUCACUUUGUGACCUCUAGGUCAAAACUCCCUUCCAACACAGCUGUGCCGGGGCGGUGAGGUGAAACGGGACCUGCCAAGGACAGGGCUUAGCUCCCUGGCCACCCCGGGUGCGGACCUUGGAUCUAUUUUAAGCUUUGAACCUCUCCGCCGUGCCAGUGAUGAGCAGCACGACCUCUGGGAAAAGAUUGACCAGACACGCUUACUAGUCCUGUAGACUUUGAGUUGGUGCUUCCCUCCGGGCACGCCGGCCGUUACCUAACGAGGCUUCAUAGUCCAAGGCAGGGAGAAGAGGCAGCUGCUUUCUCACUGCUCAGCUGCUGCAAAGGUGUAGUUUAAACUUAUGUGUGGCCUCCAGAUUGGACCUUAGGGCCUGCGCCAGCGGGCGCUGUCGGGCAUUUCUGAGACUUGGUUUCUGGUUAAUCUCUUAAUCAGAAGCGUCCAGCACGGGAAACAUCAGAGGGGGACGCGCCCGGGGAAGGGAGGCUGCAGCCCCACAGACGGGCACAGCUCGGGCUGGGUUUUAUAACCUGGGCUGAAAGUUUGGAAAGUGGGGAGUUGGUUAGUUGAAGGGGAGUUGGUUAGUUGAAGGGGAGUUGGUUAGUUGAAGGGGAGUUGCCCAGAAGGUUGUAGAAGCCAGGAUAACCUGUGAUUUUUUUUUAUUAUUUUUUUUUUUUUUUUUUAAAUAAAACAGAAUCUUCAGCUGUCCGGGUUAGACUGAUGUUGCUUGGAGCGGGAGUCGCUUUGUCAGGCACUUCCCCAGUGCCGGGCUGGGAUGAAGUUGGCCGGGUGAGCAGUUUUGGUGACUGGUGAUGGUGGUGCUGGUGACGAGGGCAACCGCCAAAGCAAUGACGCGAGACCCUGCGCUCUGCCAGGUCACACGUGUGUGUUUCAGAAUUUAGUGAGCAUUUGGUGACACAGCCCCAACAGCAGGAACCGUUCUCCUCUGACCACUCCAUGGCAGCAUUCAAAGGCAUACAUAAAGACACUGCUUUUAUUUGCAACCUGGCAGAAUUAAAUUAUUUCUCUUUUUAACAGGUUGAUAGUAAUCCUGACUUUUCUAUGCAAAAUAAGAAACUUCAGGUUAGUAUGGAACAGGCUCAAAUAUUCCAUAAGAAAAAAAAAAGCAACAUAUACUCAAGAGGUUUUUGCCAAUAAAAUAUUGCAACCUUUAUUUAAAACAAAAUGCAAAUUGGCAAAACUUUGUGGAACGACAGGCAAAGAGGCCCUUCCAAGGGCCUUAUUUACAUCAAGUUUAACACUGUUCGCAGUUCACAGUCAGACGAUAGUGAGAGAAUUAAAUUAGAAAAACAACCAAAAUAUAUUACAAUAACAAUUAAAAACAAAAACA